AGGACGAACGCUGGCGGCGUGCUUAACACAUGCAAGUCGAACGAGGCGCUUGCGCCUAGUGGCGAACGGGUGAGUAACACGUGAGCAACCUGCCCUUGGCUCUGGGAUAGCCUCCGGAAACGGGGAUUAAUACCGGACAUGACCUUCUCCUGCAUGGGGGGAGGGUGGAAAGUUUUUCGGCCAGGGAGGGGCUCGCGGCCUAUCAGCUUGUUGGGGGGGUAACGGCCCACCAAGGCGACGACGGGUAGCC
rnacentral:rRNA from 1 species